rnacentral:rRNA from 1 species
UCGUGCGAGAAGGAGACUUCGGUCUCUGAGUAGAGCGGCGCACGGGUGAGUAACGCGUGGAUGAUCUACCCUUGAGUUCGGGAUAACGGUGCGAAAGCGCCGCUAAUACCGUAUAACAAUCCAUUUCAUCGUGGGUUCAAAGCAGGCCUCUUCAUGAAAGCUUGCGCUUGGGGAUGAGUCCGCGUCCCAUUAGCUUGUUGGCGGGGUAACGGCCCACCAAGGCAACGAUGGGUAGCUGGUCUGAGAGGAUGAUCAGCCACACUGGAACUGAAACACGGUCCAGACUCCUACGGGAGGCAGCAGUGGGGAAUAUUGCGCAAUGGGGGAAACCCUGACGCAGCGACGUCGUGUGAGGGAAGAAGGCCUUCGGGUCGUAAACCUCUGUCAGAAGGGAAGAACAUCCGGGAGUCGAACAGCCUCCCGGCCUGACGGUACCUUCAGAGGAAGCGCCGGCUAACUCCGUGCCAGCAGCCGCGGUAAUACGGAGGGCGCAAGCGUUAAUCGGAAUCACUGGGCGUAAAGCGUGCGUAGGCUGUUUGAUAAGUCAGGCGUGAAAUCCCUCGGCUCAACCGGGGAACUGCGUUUGAUACUGUUGAACUAGAGUCCUGGAGAGGGUGGCGGAAUUCCUGGUGUAGGAGUGAAAUCCGUAGAUAUUAGGAGGAACACCGGUGGCGAAGGCGGCUACCUGGACCGAUAUUGACGCUGAGACGCGAAAGCGUGGGGAGCAAACAGGAUUAGAUACCCUGGUAGUCCACGCCGUAAACGAUGAGAACUAGGUGUUGCGGGUAUUGACCCCUGCAGUGCCGCAGCUAACGCAUUAAG